ACAAACACUUUUCGACACCCAUCGAAUAGAAACACGUUGUUUCGACUUCGACACAAAGAAUUCUAUAUUUAACACAUCACAUAAUUCAUUGUGUCAAAGCUAUCUACAUUCAUAAUUAUUCUUAAUAUCUUGAACAAUUUGACAUGCACAGCCUUCGUCAUUAUAUCUACAAUCUGAUUCUCUGAUUUGGGAUGCUCUA
rnacentral:lncRNA from 1 species